AUAUUCCUAUUGGAUGUUUCAAACGUACUCGUAGUGGCGCCAGUUCCCUGCGAAGCAAACGCCUUUCAAAAAACCCCGCGAUUCAAACGAAAUUUGCCACAAGGUCGGCAAAACUACUCCCCAAACUCUGAAAGGAACCGUUUAGCCAAUUUUCGUUCUCUUCAUUACUCGAAACAUCAAUUUCAAUGCAAUUCAAAUUUCCCUUGUCCAAUUCAGAGCACGUUCUAUAGUCGAUGUUCAAACUGUUCUAAUUUGCAUUAAUUCUCUUCUUUUCUGUUCCUUUUUCAUUUAAGACUGUGCAGAUUCGUCCGACUCAGGGAAUACUCAAUUUUCUACAAAACUUUCAGUCCAAUUUCGUCUUCAGCGCUUUUGGCUGAAUAACGUGAUCUAAUCGUAAUGGGAAUUCUUCGACGUUAUGAAAAAUAACAAACUCGCUCCUAAUGAAAUAUCUGCCAGUUUGACGAAGACGCCGUUUUCUAUUAUAUGUAUACGUACACAAAUGCACGUCUGAAGAAUGUCUGUAGACUACAGUCUACAGUGUGUGCGAACAAUGAUGAUCGACUUUGGAAUGUUACCCGAAAGAAAGGAAUGUUUCCCGCGCAAAACUUGCUUCGAACAUUCUAUAAUCCCCUCAACCAGAGUUCCCCGUCCACCGAAUUAUCAGACUACAAAUUUUCGGUUCUACAUUUUUCACCUUGGGACGUCUGCCGAUUCAAGCAUCAAACGCAUCUGUUAGGAAGAAAUUAGAGUUUGGAGAAUUAAAAACGACGAUUGCGAGAUCUUGAUCGCAUGUGGAAAGUAUAGAAUAUGGAGUACCUACAUCCAGAACAUUCUGCCUCCUACGCCGCCGCCCUUGCUGCUCAAGCGCCAUCGGGCCGCAAGUAAAAUUUACGUUUUACUCUGUGCAGCCACGAAAAAAUAGGUCGUACGAUUUAGUACGGGAUUCCAUCGCCAGGUCGAUGACGGGGCGGUAAACCAAAAAAUCAAAACGAAAAUAAAAAAGGUGCCGACAAAAUUUCAAGCUAAAGAUUUUCCAAUAAAAGCACCUAAUUUUCAUCGUACGAUUUUAGCGAAAAAAGAUUUUACCCUGGCCAAAAUCUCGUCAAAGUUUCGUCGAGCGAGGUGAGCAGAGGCGCGGGUCGGGUGUAAAAGGGUGAAAAAAAGGAGAGGAGAGGAAGAAAAAGGGAGCAAAAGGUCGCUGGACGGAGUAGCCAAAAAGGAGAGCUGCAGUAUCCAGUACCGAUGUUGGUCUACCAAUGAUCGAUGUACCUCGUCUCCAUCGACGACUACGACGGUUUGAUGGUUGAUAAGCCAGGCGUAUUGAUUAAACAGCAAAGCGAGCAAAAAAAUGUCACUCUGCAAAGCUUCCUGUCGUACCAAUCGAGCAGUUUAUGCGGAUAGACGAUGCGUUCUGUCUGCUGGGUCACAACCGCUGUUGGAAUUAUUUUAAAAUAAUACCGAGUAACGUUCAUUAGAGUAUAGGAACUAGGUAGGAAAAAGCCAAACAAAACCAUCCUCCCACCGUGUCUCGGAGAAUUGUUAGCAAACGUGAACCGUUCGAACGAACCUCAGUCGGCAGGCGCAGCCAGCCAGAAGUGGAUCGUAAAGUCUAGUCCAUGUCUUUGGUGUAUUUCAGUACGCAACGCGUUCUCUUUAUGCUAUAUUAUAACUCCGGGUGUCACAUCGAUCCGUUGACGCUAUGUGGUGCAGUUUUUAAGGAACUAUUUUAAUCGGGAAAAUCUCCUGCGAUUAACGUCCGGUUGUGUUACUUCAUAUUCCCCUAGUUUUGUCCCUUUUUUUUUCCAUCUUCCUUUCCCUUUCUCUCUCUCGAAAGGAUAACACGUGACACGGUAUUACCCCUGGAAGAAAGAAAGAAAAAAAAAAAAAAAAAAAAAAAAAAAAAAAAAA
rnacentral:lncRNA from 1 species